rnacentral:rRNA from 1 species
GAUGAACGCUGGCGGCGUGCCUAAUACAUGCAAGUCGAGCGAACGGACGAGAAGCUUGCUUCUCUGAUGUUAGCGGCGGACGGGUGAGUAACACGUGGAUAACCUACCUAUAAGACUGGGAUAACUUCGGGAAACCGGAGCUAAUACCGGAUAAUAUUUUGAACCGCAUGGUUCAAAAGUGAAAGACGGUCUUGCUGUCACUUAUAGAUGGAUCCGCGCUGCAUUAGCUAGUUGGUAAGGUAACGGCUUACCAAGGCAACGAUGCAUAGCCGACCUGAGAGGGUGAUCGGCCACACUGGAACUGAGACACGGUCCAGACUCCUACGGUAGGCAGCAGUAGGGACUCUUCCGCAAUGGGCGAAAGCCUGACGGAGCAACGCCGCGUGAGUGAUGAAGGUCUUCGGAUCGUAAAACUCUGUUAUUAGGGAAAAACAUAUGUGUAAGUAACUGUGCACAUCUUGACGGUACCUAAUCAGAAAGCCACGGCUAACUACGUG